rnacentral:rRNA from 1 species
UCCAGACUCCUACGGGAGGCAGCAGUGGGGAAUAUUGGACAAUGGGGGAAACCCUGAUCCAGCGACGCCGCGUGAGUGAAGAAGUAUUUCGGUACGUAAAGCUCUAUCAGCAGGAAAGAAAAUGACGGUACCUGACUAAGAAGCCCCGGCUAACUACGUGCCAGCAGCCGCGGUAAUACGUAGGGGGCGAGCGUUAUCCGGAUUUAUUGGGCGUAAAGCGUUCGUAGGCGGUUUGUUAAGUCUGAGAUUUAAGCCCGAGGCUCAACCUCGGUUCGUUUCAGAAACUGGCAGACUUGAGUGUGGUAGAGGCAAGUGGAAUUUCUAGUGUAGCGGUUAAAUGCGUAGAUAUUAGAAGGAACACCAGUGGCGAAGGCGGCUUGCUGGGCCAUUACUGACGCUGAGGAACGAAAGCGUGGGGAGCAAAUAGGAUUAGAUACCCCUGUAA